GUGGGGCUGCUGCUGAUCCUUUUAUUUUCCUUCUACAGGGUGGUUGUGACAGCUUGGAGCACCUAAUUUGUGCAAGCAGACAGCCCAGAAUAUAAGGAAAAUGCAACAGCUGGAGAAAUCCAGCUCCAAAGGCUGGAAUGGUUUCCUCGUGCAGGUUUCUCCAAAUCACAGCUAAGGAGGGGCACGGCUCGCCGAGAAAAUGUGUGCCCUGUAAAAUAAAAGGAUUAGGAAACCGCUUUAUAGCUUGUGAGAUUUAUGGUUUCAGAACAAAUGGCUGUAGUUCACUUGGCCUGCAGCUCUAAAGGAGGCCAAAACAAACUGCUUUAAAGCUUUGGUUCAAAAGGAAGGCUCAGAUCCCCCCUUACAUGGGUCUUUGUAAAUGAUGGGAAUACUGGAAGGAGUCUUGUGCAUCCUGCAGCACCUCUAAGCUGCCACUUUAUGCUGCUUGAAUGUGAUAAUAUUGAAAGGUAAAUUUGUUCCAAAUGUCCUGGCACAGUGGAAAUGUUGACCUGGAAACCCAGUGAUGGAGCAGAGAUUUAAAAAAAAUAUAUUAUGGGAAAGAGCGAAGAGGAAAUGUGUGAUGUGGCCUUUUUUCUGUCUUUCGGAGAAGCAGAAGUACAAGGCAUGGUAUCGCCUCACUGUUGAAGAGAAGAAUUGAAGUUGUUUUGGGAUGAGCAGAGCCAAAGAAGCUUCAUUUCAUCUGGAUUUGUGUCUCGAAAGGGAGCUUGCCUGUGUGGAUUCUCUGCUGUCUGAUAAAGGUGAAAAGAAAUAAUUUGGGAGCUGAAAUUGAUGCCAAGGAGCCUUGUAAAACCUAGGAGUCUCCCGCUCUCCGGCCAAGCGUUUCCCUCCACCUCGUGGGUUGAUGCUGCGAGAGCAAGUCCAAUAAUGAUGAGAGAAGAGAAGGAAGAGGUUUCUGGGAACAGCAGCCAAGUCUGUCCUGAGGAAGUAUUUAGAGCUUGGGCUGUUGUGGAUUUGAGCUCUUCAGGCUUGCACUGAAAUGAAGUAUCAAGUGACAAGAGCCACAUUCCCUGGUUCCUACAUUACAGCAAUAGUGCAGAGAAAAAGAGAUCUUCCCGGUUCUGCGAGCUAAGUGGUCACUGUUAGUUUAUCUUCCCCAUUCCCGAAAGAGAAGACACUGGACGACUCCUCCAUUGUUUUUCUUCUGGGAAAUGAUGGACAUCCUUGGUUUGCAGCAUGACCAAAAUUGCCGUUCUGGGUAAAACUGCAGCUCAGUAUCUUGCUGCAGACACUGGCCAGACCCAGCACCACAGGGAAAACUGCAACAGAUCUCUUCAGGAUGUAUUAUGAGCUGCCAAAGCUGAAUAGUGGCUGGUUUGUGUCCAGUGAAGAACAGACUUGGACUAAAUGGAACAGCUGCGCAAAGAUGUUCAACAUAAUAGCUCACCACUCUGUGUUUCCAUUCAUUUCUGACAAAACCGAGAAGCUUUCAACACCAAAGGACACCUUCCCAAUUUCACCGUGUUCCCACGACAGCUCAGGGCAGUGUCUGAGUGCAAGGAAAUUCCAGGGAUGCUCAGAGGCGUAUCUCAGGGGAGGAGCUUGGA